rnacentral:rRNA from 1 species
UACGUAGGGUGCGAGCGUUAAUCGGAAUUACUGGGCGUAAAGCGUGCGCAGACGGUUGCGUAAGUCAGAUGUGAAAGCCCCGGGCUCAACCUGGGAAUUGCAUUUGAGACUGCGUAGCUAGGGUGCGGAAGAGGGAAGCGGAAUUUCCGGUGUAGCGGUGAAAUGCGUAGAUAUCGGAAGGAACACCAGUGGCGAAAGCGGCUUCCUGGUCCAGCACCGACGUUCAGGCACGAAAGCAUGGGGAUCAAACAGG